rnacentral:rRNA from 1 species
GCAAUAGCUGAUUGCAUUUAAUUUAAUGUAGUUACUACUUGGUAGUUUAAAUUUCUAGGUAGAAUUAUGAUGAUGACAUUAUCUAUCUAUUAGUCUUGACCAAAUUACGUGCCAGCAGUCGCGGUAAUACGUAGAAGACAAGCGUUAUUCAUCUUUAUUAGGUUUAAAGAGUACCAAGACGGUUAAUAAAGCCCAAAAAAAAUGAAUACGGGGGACACAUUAACUAGAGUUAUAUGAAAGGAAGCUAUAAGGUACUGUUGAGUGUAGAGAUGAAAUUUUAUGAUACCAGAUGAUUGGCACAGAUUUAGGCGAAGGCAUCUUCUUAUGUAAUAACUGACGUUGUAGGACGAAGGCUUAAGUAGUGAACAGGAUUAGGUACCCCAGUAAUCUAGGCAGAAAAUGAUGAAUGUCAUAGGCUGAAAUAUUGUGUCUAUAAAUGAAAGUGUAAGCAUUCCACCUCAAGAGUAAUUUGGCAACAUUGGAACUGAAAUCAUUAGACCGUUUCUGAAACCAGUAGUGAAGUAUGUUGUUUAAUUAGAUGAUACACAAAAACCUUACCACAAUUUGAAUAUAUAUAAAAUAUAUUUACAAGCGCUGCACGGCUGUCUACAGUUAAUGUCGUGAGACUUUGGUUAGCUCCAAUAAAUAGACGUAAACCCUAAUUUUAUUUAUAAAUAUAAU